rnacentral:lncRNA from 1 species
UCCGUCAUACCAUUAAGUUAAUUCCAGUUCCCCAGUCACUCCCAGCUACAGAGAAGUAGACUUCAUUUCAUCCCGAGAGCCAUGAAGCAUGUGGAGGAUAUGGAAACACUACAUCCUCUAACAUAAGCUGUGAGCAUCUGUGGGUUUAGUGUGGGGUCUUUUGGAGCCCAUCCCCAGCUGAUGUCAAGACACUGCAAGCUUCACUAUUGCCUGGAAUAUCCUGGUUCUUAAAAGACACUGAUGGCGGUGUUCCAGAGGAUACAUAACAUCAAUGCCAAUAAUGAUGGCGGUGUUACAGAGGACACAAGAUAUCUAUGGCUGACCCUGAUGGCGGUGUUCCAGCGACACAUGACGUCAAAGAGUCUAUGGUUCUUAUGACUGAUGAGAUGCACGAGGACGGACACGGAUUAUGUGAGGAGGAUGGACACGGAUCAUGUGAGGAGGAUGGACAAGGAUCACGUGAGGAGGAUGGACAAGGAUCAUGUGAGGAGGACGGACAAGGAUCAUGUGAGGAGGAUGG